UACGUAGGGGGCGAGCGUUGUCCGGAUUUAUUGGGCGUAAAGAGCUCGUAGGCGGCUUGGCAAGUCGGGUGUGAAACCUCCAGGCUCAACCUGGAGACGCCACUCGAUACUGCCAUGGCUAGAGUCCGGUAGGGGACCACGGAAUUCCUGGUGUAGCGGUGGAAUGCGCAGAUAUCAGGAGGAACACCGAUGGCGAAGGCAGGUCACUGGGCCGCAACUGACGCUGAGGAGCGAAAGCAUGGGGAGCGAACAGG
rnacentral:rRNA from 1 species